AGUGAACGCUGGCGGCAGGCUUAACACAUGCAAGUCGAGCGGGCAUCCUGUUAGUGUCAGCGCCAGACGGGUGAGUAACGCGUAGGAACGUGCCCUUCUUUUCAGAAUAACUCAGGGAGACUGGUAAUAAUAGCGAAUAUGCCCUUAUGGCGAAAGGGUUAAAUGCGAAGGAUCGGCGCGCGUCGGGAUAUUUAGUUGGUGAUGGUAGGGCGGACCAAUGGGAGGAUCAGUAGGGGGUCUGAGAGGAUGGGCAGCCACACGGGGACUGAGACACGGUCCAGACUCCUGCGGGAGGAAGGAGUGGGGGAUAUUGGAAAACCGGGGGAAUGCUGAAGCAGUCAUGGUGGGAGAGUGAUGUUGGUCGGAGGGUAGUAAAGCUGUUUUCUCCGGGACGAUAAUGACGGUACCGGAGGAAUAAGCCCCGGCUAACUUCGUG
rnacentral:rRNA from 1 species